rnacentral:misc_RNA from 1 species
GCUCAACAGUGAUCGUAGCACAGCCUUGAUAAACUUCACAAUCUACAGGGACAGACUCACCAGCUCCCACCAAGAUAUAUGAGCCCACUUCAACAUCACGCACUGGCACCCUUCUAUGCUCCAGAUCUGAAGUAUCGGGAAGGUUAUCAUCAUUCACAUCAAGAACAAGAGCAAAAUCUGGAUGACUUUCCUUCAACUCUUUAACAUCAAUCAUUGAUUGCUUUGUGAAAUACUCUUCAGCAAUA